rnacentral:rRNA from 1 species
CCGUGUUUACCAUGACCGCGUUGCCUCGGCGGGCCCACUGGGGCCUGGCCCCGGUCGCCGGGGGGCUUCUGCCCCCGGGUCCGCGCCCGCCGAAGCGCCCUGGAACCCUGUCUGAAUAGUGAGUCUGAGUCUAUGAUUAAAUCAUUAAAACUUUCAACAACGGAUCUCUUGGUUCCGGCAUCGAUGAAGAACGCAGCGAAAUGCGAUAAGUAAUGUGAAUUGCAGAAUUCCGUGAAUCAUCGAAUCUUUGAACGCACAUUGCGCCCCCUGGCAUUCCGGGGGGCAUGCCUGUCCGAGCGUCAUUUCUGCCCUCCAGCCCGGCUGGGUGUUGGGUGUUGUCCCCCCGGGGACACGCCCCAAAGGCAGUGGCGGCGCCGCGUCGGGUCCUCGAGGAUUGGGGCUUUGUCACCCGCUCGGGACGGAAUCGCGGCGCUGGCUUCCUCCGGCGACCCUUCGGGCCGUCUCCUUCGGUUGACCUCGGACAGGUGGGUUCCCGCUGAAUUAAGAUAUCAUAAGCGGAGGA